rnacentral:tRNA from 1 species
AUCUUUCUAGUACCAAAGUCAGUACAAGUGACUUCCAAUCAUUCAGUCUUGGUUAAAGCCCAAGGAAAGAUA